rnacentral:rRNA from 1 species
AACGAACGCUGGCGGCAUGCCUAACACAUGCAAGUCGAACGAGACCUUCGGGUCUAGUGGCGCACGGGUGCGUAACGCGUGGGAACCUGCCCUUAGGUUCGGAAUAACUCCCCGAAAGGGGUGCUAAUACCGGAUAAUGUCUUCGGACCAAAGAUUUAUCGCCUUUGGAUGGGCCCGCGUUGGAUUAGCUAGUUGGUAGGGUAAAAGCCUACCAAGGCGACGAUCCAUAGCUGGUCUGAGAGGAUGAUCAGCCACACUGGGACUGAGACACGGCCCAGACUCCUACGGGAAGCAGCAGUGGGGAAUAUUGGACAAUGGGCGAAAGCCUGAUCCAGCAAUGCCGCGUGAGUGAUGAAGGCCUUAGGGUUGUAAAGCUCUUUUACCCGGGAUGAUAAUGGCAGUACCGGGAGAAUAAGCGCCGGCUAACUCCGUG